UUUCUUCUCUCUCUGUAACCCAAAAACCUCAAUCUCUUCGCUUCCCCAGCCUCUUCCCAAAUUUUCUGCUCUUGGUGCUUUCAUUUUAUGGGCCGUCUAGUCCCUUCUGCCACAAGUCUGCAGCACCAACUCUCACGAGCAGCCCGGCCCCUCUGUUCUAAGAUCGGCAAGCCAAAUCCUACCACCAAAGUUCUCCCUGAGAUCGUUCAAACCGCUACCCUUCCUCCUGCUGCUGCUACUUCUUCCUCCAUCAAGAACAAGCCCCUCAAGAUUCAAAGACCGACCACCAACAAGAUGCAGAGGGGCGCCGAGGAGACGCCUGACAGGGUUCCGCUGUCGGAGGUCGUCGCCGACUGCGUCAAGCGUUGGUUCCAGGACACUCUCCGGGAGGCAAAGUCCGGCGACUCCGCGAUGCAGAUUCUGGUUGGGCAGAUGUAUUACAGUGGCUACGGCGUAGCUCGUGACGUGCAGAAGGGACGGGCUUGGCUCACAAAGGCAUCAAAGAGUCGGUCGUCUGCGUGGAAAGUCGGUGACAAGCGUCCAGGGUAUAAUGCAAGUGACUCGGAUACGGAUGAGGAGAAUGUCCAAGCAAAGUAGGGUUUGAAGGGAUAUUUAGACAUGGAAAGUAAAGGCCAAAGGUCGACUGACUUAGAUUAGUUUCGCAAAUCUUUGUAUCUGUUUGUGUUAUAGCUCAGUGUUCAUGUGACUCUUCUGUUGCUGAUUAUAGAUUAGUUGAUCUCUCUAUGUGUGUUAUCGUGCUAUUUUUUUGUGCGUCGUUUCCAUAAACUCUUUCUUCUUGGAGAGUUUGUAUGAACUUCAUAGUCUACUACUUAUUAAAGAGUAAGCUUUUGCUUUUGUGGGAGGAAAUGUUCCUCUAAAUUCCUUCCACAUUGAACAUAUUGAGGGUGAGGCUUCAAGAACUUCAAAUUAGCAUUGGCCUUUGUUGGGUGGGAUAGAUGGUAAUGCCUUUGUCUCUUCAUGUGAUAUGAUAUGGGAAGGGAAUUGAUUCCUUAAGCCCAUAUGGUAUAACCAUUAUUCAUGCAUCGUGGUAGUCUUGAGGAAUAUUAAUGGGCUUCUAAAAAAAUAUAUAUACAUGUGUCAAUCUUUCUGUGACAAUUUCUGUGACAAGGACAGUUGAAAGGACACAGGGGCAGAGUCAUCUCUUAAAUCACAUCAAGGCUCAAAAUUUUUGUGAUCUCGAGCCUAGGACCUCAUGGAAAGGUAAUUGGACUCAUGUUGGAAUAAAACAAUUGAAACAAACAUCAAAAUAGUUUCAGAAAUUUAUGGUUUCUAUUUUCUUUGGAUUUACUUUAUCUAUAUGAAGGCACCUGAAAUCUGGGUGCUUCAAAGCAGAUCAGCUCAAAGAGAGAAAAGAUGUGUAUGGACACUGGUGGGUAGACAAAUUGAAACCUUGAAACUGUGCAGGCAUAAAUUUUCAGAUUCUUGUUCUGCGUUUAUUUGAAGCAUGUCUUUAAUACAGGGGUCCAGAUUGAAAUUUACGGGCUCUAUGUGGGAGAAUGGUUUAAGAAGGAUUUCUAUGGAUCCACAAGUUGUAAAUCCAGGCACAUGAAAUAAGGGAAAGUUGCAUUUGGAUUUCCCAUGAGAAUCUGGUCACCUUUCACACAACCUUGUCAGGUGAAGGCUAAAAGACAGGUUUUUGCCUGGUUGCUAAGUGGAUUGGAGAUGUGCAUCACAUUAUUGUGGCAACUUUUCAACCAGCUGAGCUCUAGUUGUGUUGCAUAAUAGACUUCAUGGUUACUCCUAAGUCCGAAGUGUUGAUUUUUGUUGGGGUCCCCAUUGUUCAAUUUUUAUUUUUCCAAUCUGAACCGACAUAUCUAACUUGAUCUGUGUAGCUUCCGUGAAGCCUAGGUUGUGGGAGUUGUAGUGACAAGGGUACUGGUGAAAUUGAUAUUGAUAACCUGUCUGCCCAUGAACUGAGAGCUUUUGGUGUUUGCACAAAAAAGUAAGAGCGAACUAAGAUUAGUAUACAAUGCCUGAAUGAUCUAGCAUUGGGUUGAGCUAAUGGGAGGAGAUGUUGUUGGCUUGGAAUAAGCAUGUCAUGAGCAUCUAACUCUAGCUUGCCUAAGGGUUUGCUUGUUUACUACAGAGAGCUAACCAUUUUAUUGGUGAAAUACUGAAGUUUCAUAUAUUUUUAGAAAAUUUCUUGGGUUAAGUGUCCAGUUGCAGUUAACAUUUUUCAUGUAUCCAGAUAAAGAUGGUGUACGGAUUUAUUAGCAAUAAUGAAUUGCAGCAUUCAAGAACAAUGCCCAUCAGUCUGCGCUUUGCUGUACAAUUGAUGUUGCAGAUUUAAAAGACAGAAGUUUGCAUUUGUAUAAGCUCUCUUUUGGAUGUUGUGGGAGCAAGUACCGUAUCCUCCAAGGAGGAAGUAGUUGGGCAUAAGCAACUGGUUGAUCAUGCCUUUCCACUGGUAUUCUCAUAUUAUUGUAUUUAUGGUUUCUUAUAUGAAUUUUGUUAGAACUAAAUAACUUGCUGUUUGGUCAUAAGAAAGUCUCAGUAUGGUUGCUAA